rnacentral:rRNA from 1 species
UACGUAGGGGGCAAGCGUUGUCCGGAAUCAUUGGGCGUAAAGCGCGCGUAGGCGGCUCGAUCAGUCUGCUGUAAAAGUCAAAGGCUCAACCUUUGAAAGCCGGUGGAUACUGUCGAGCUAGAGUCCGGAAGAGGCGAGUGGAAUUCCUGGUGUAGCGGUGGAAUGCGCAGAUAUCAGGAGGAACACCAACGGCGAAGGCAGCUCGCUGGGACGGUACUGACGCUAAGGCGCGAAAGCGUGGGGAGCGAACAGG